GAAUGCCAACUGGAACGUCUGGAAGGUUGGUCAGUUUGCUGCGCUGCGGACGGAAAGCAUGGAGAGCACAGCACAGGACACGUUCAAGAAACUCCAGAGACAACUGCAGGAACUGGGUGCAGAUCUGCGACGAGCUGCGGUGCUCCUUUGACCAAACCAACCUACUGGUGAAGAAGAUCAUACCUCUGGGGCUGGACAAGGAUCUGUGAGAUCUCUGGAGCUCUCCACAGAACAGCUCCUGGUUAAGAAGGUGUUCACCCUGUACUCCCCGGCGGUGCGGCAGCUGUCUAAACAGGACCACUUUGUUUUGGCCUGCGGCCUCACUCCACCACGUUGGAAAGAAACUGCUCGUAAUGAAGAGAACCUGCCACCGUUCAGCGGAAUCACCCAGGACGUGUUUCCCCGCUGUCGAAACACCCAUUAUAGACUCUAACAAGAUCCCCACUGGGACAGUGGAAGAAUCCUCUGAACUCCAUGGCAAUGAGUCUUGGACAGAUUUAUGGAGAAAAUGACCUCUCGACCAGCCAGUGAGUGCUUUCUUCCCUCAUGAGAUCAGCCUGCACAGGAUACUAUUUUACCCGCCACUAAGAACAAAACCUGCUCUUCUUUAGACGGUACUCUGCCAAAGCACUGGUGCUCUGCUGCCAAACCUGUCUUUUCUACAUGCAGGAGUCCCAGAUCAGGCAGAUCUACGGUACCAUGAUCGACCAGAAGUUACAGGGAUUAAGGAGGAGGUGAAGACCAUUGGAGAGUCUGGGUCUCAGGCCACCUUAGAACUGUAUUAUGCUGUUACGGCUAGUUUUCUUUUCACGCCAGACACAUCUUUGCUCAUUUCUUUAGGUUUGAACUUCUUAAACUGUUCAAGGAAGCAUUUGGCUCUCUGCCUCAUUAAACUAAAAGCUACACAAACUCGAUCUGCUUCCAGCCCUUCAGAUUCUACGAUU